rnacentral:tRNA from 1 species
GGGCGAUAGCUCAGCUGGUAGAGCAUCUGCUUGGUAUACGGAGGGUCGUUGGUUCAAAUCCGGCUCGCGGCUU